GAGCCAGAAGUCCGGCAGCAGAGUGAUGAUGCCUAUAGCUGCUCUAUCAAGAGUACAUUCCGGGGCAAGCCUGAUUUGCCGUGCAGAUGAAAAGCCCAAGAGAACCCACUAAAUUAAAGGGGGUGCUUGUUGAUGGAGAAACCCCAACGAUCUUGUCUGCAGGGAUGGCCUUAUCGAUGAAUGUCCGGGUUAGCGAAAGCAGUUUAAACUUUCUAGGAAUGUACACGUCAUUCUCAAACAUUUGCACUACUCCUAGCU
rnacentral:misc_RNA from 1 species